AUCAAGUUUACAGUUUUAAUCAUCAGUUUUUAUUCUUAGAUUUUUCUUUAAAUUAAUUUUUUAUCAAGGACUUUAAAAGUCUUAUAUUAAUUCAUUCAAGUCCCUGUAAUUAUCAACUUUAUCUAAAAGGCCUAGAUUGAGUGAAAUAUUCUUUGCAAUGUAUACCAAGAAUAUGUAUCAUGCCACUCCAGCACUUUCGACAAUAUAAUACACCGAAAAAUAUUCAGAACAUUUUUCAUUAUGAUUAGCAUUUUUAAUGCACAUUUAUAAGAAUUUGAUGAUAACUAGGUGGGC
rnacentral:lncRNA from 1 species